GCUCAGGAUGAACGCUAGCUACAGGCUUAACACAUGCAAGUCGAGGGGUAGCAGGGUAGCAAUACCGCUGACGACCGGCGCACGGGUGAGUAACACGUAUCCAACCCUCCCAUAACUCGGGGAUAGCCUUUCGAAAGAAAGAUUAAUACCCGAUAGUACUUUUUUAGGGCAUCUUAGAAAAGUUAAAGAUUUAUUGGUUAUGGAUGGGGAUGCGUUCCAUUAGAUAGUUGGUGAGGUAACGGCUCACCAAGUCUUCGAUGGAUAGGGGUUCUGAGAGGAAGGUCCCCCACAUUGGUACUGAGACACGGACCAAACUCCUACGGGAGGCAGCAGUGAGGAAUAUUG
rnacentral:rRNA from 1 species